GGCAUUUUCAUCAUAAGCUUUCAUCUUCUAAUGAACUCCGUUGUUAUGAUGAAGUCCUUAGGACUAUUUAAGUUCGAUAAAGAGAGGAUUUAUCGAUUAGUCUUUAAAAUUAUUCACGACCAAAUGAUAGGCUGUUAAUAAGGACGACAGCUUCUAUCGAGCAUAGGUCGCUGUAGGCCAUAUGGGUUGGUUAUCCUCUUAACCA
rnacentral:lncRNA from 1 species